rnacentral:rRNA from 1 species
GACGAACGCUGGCGGCGUGCCUAAUACAUGCAAGUCGAACGAGAGCAACCGGUGCUUGCACUGGUCAAUCUAGUGGCGAACGGGUGAGUAACACGUGGGUAACCUGCCCAUCAGAGGGGGAUAACAUCCGGAAACGGAUGCUAAAACCGCAUAGGUCUUCGAACCGCAUGGUUUGAAGAGGAAAAGAGGCGCAAGCUUCUGCUGAUGGAUGGACCCGCGGUGCAUUAGCUAGUUGGUGAGGUAACGGCUCACCAAGGCCGUGAUGCAUAGCCGACCUGAGGGGGUGAUCGGCCACAUUGGGACUGAGCCACGGCCCAAACUCCUACGGGAGGCAGCAGUAGGGAAUCUUCCGCAAUGGACGCAAGUCUGACGGAGCAACGCCGCGUGAGUGAAGAAGGUUUUCGGAUCGUAAAACUCUGUUGUUAGAGAAGAACAAGUGCUAGAGUAACUGUUAGCGCCUUGACGGUAUCUAACCAGAAAGCCACGGCUAACUACGUG